GAAACCUGAACAGAUCUGCUGGGAGCUGAGAGUGAUCAGAUCCUCCUCAUGAUCUCCAUGGAUCACCUGAUCCUGAAUCUCUCUGAUUGUUGGUCCGUCUGGGAAAUAUUCCUUCCACAUUUUCCUGCCUCUCUGACUGAACCGACUCUCAGCAGGAGGACUGGCAGCCCGUCUAAAGGAGGUCUGGACCCCAMAGACUCACUGAAAUCCAGAAGAUGGAAGAUUUGGACCUAAAGCAGGWCAGAGCAGAACCUGCAGGAUCCGUCUGUCCCUCUAUGAGGAGUGACUGGUCCAAGGAACAGAAUCCAAACUUCAGUAAUGAACCUGGACCCUCAGAYAGGAAAGAUCAGAACCUCAAACUAAGAGCAGAACCUGCAGGAUCCGUCUGUCCCUCUAUGAGGAGUGACCGGUCCAGAAGAGAACCUCCAGA